rnacentral:rRNA from 1 species
AGGAUAAACGCUGGCGGCGUGCCUAACACAUGCAAGUCGAACGUCCUACGCAAGUAGGGAGUGGCGGACGGGUGAGUAACACGUGGGCAAUCUACCUUUCGGUGAGGAAUACCGGCGAGAAAUCGCCGACAAUACCGCAUACGCUUCGCAAGAAGCAAAGUCGCAAGACGCCGGAGGAGGAGCCUGCGCCCGAUUAGCUCGUUGGUGGAGUAAUGGUCUACCAAGGCGACGAUCGGUAGC